CCGUCACCAGAGAAGGUGGUGGCUCUAUUGCGAUCCCAUAAAAUCACCACGAUCCGCCUCUUCGACCAUAAACAUGCUUCCAACCCAACCUUCACCAGCACCUAAGUCCAAACUAAUAUAACUCUUUACCUUUAAUUUCUAGUAUACAAUAUUAUCAAUAUAUUAAUGUAAUAAAAAAGCUUCUAAGCCCAUAUGAUCAUGUAAAAGGCUUAGUAUAUCUUGCUAGCAUAUCAACAUCUCAAUA
rnacentral:lncRNA from 1 species